GGUAGACCAGUCGCAGUGGGGCGGAGCAUUCCGGCAGGGGUGUUCCAGACAGGGGAGGCUGAGUGUCCCAGGGAAAGAACACUGGUGUUUGCCGGGAAGAAGCCAGACCGUUUUAGCUAAGCUUCAGGACCCCAGAAUGAAGGCACCUAGCGGCCAAGGGCGUGCACCAAUGCACUCAGCACGAGCUGAGAGAAAGUCAGCUUCAACUUAUGUGUUUUCCAAGCGACUUCACUGAGUCGCUUUUCAACCCAAUCUCAGUGUGAAUCGCCGGAAAUUGCCUGUUCUCUUUGGGGCUCUGAAGACAAGAGAACUAGCACUGCCUAUGGAGAAGCUGAUUCUGAGGUGGCUUCAUCAGCAACUAGGUUAUCAAAAUGAAACUACACACACCAUCUCGUCGGAAGUACCUACAGACUCACUUCUUAUGAGCACAGCCCAGGAAUACAAGGCUGCCAUAGAGGAAAACUGCUGAGGUGGCAGGUUACCUGGAUUUAGAGUCACCUAGGAGACACACUUGGAAAGGUCUUGAGAGUUUCUAGAGAUGUUUGCUUAGGAUGGAAGUCCUACCCUGAAUGUGGGUGGUGCCAUUCUACAAGUGAAAAGAAGAGAAAAAGAAAGAGUGAGCUGAGUAUGAACAUUUGUUUUCCUCUCCUUCUGGAUUACAGACAUCGUGUCCUCUGACUCCUCACAUUCCCAUCACCGUCCUUUCCCUCAUAUGACCGACUGUGUCCCCUCAAAACUGUAAGCCAAAAUAAACUCCUCUUUCCAUCA